rnacentral:rRNA from 1 species
UACGUAGGGUGCGAGCGUUGUCCGGAAUUAUUGGGCGUAAAGAGCUCGUAGGCGGUCUGUCGCGUCGAUCGUGAAAACUUGGGGCUUAACCCUGAGCUUGCGGUCGAUACGGGCAUGACUGGAGUUCGGCAGGGGAGACUGGAAUUCCUGGUGUAGCGGUGAAAUGCGCAGAUAUCAGGAGGAACACCGGUGGCAAAGGCGGGUCUCUGGGCCGAUACUGACGCUGAGGAGCGAAAGCGUGGGGAGCGAACAGG